rnacentral:rRNA from 1 species
UUUUAAAUGGCCGCAGUAUUUUGACUGUGCAAAGGUAGCAUAAUCAUUAGUUUUUUAAUUAAAAGCUUGUAUGAAAGGCUGGACGAGGUAAAAUCUGUCUCUAUUUAAAUUAUAGUAGAAUUUAACUUUUAAGUUAAAAGGCUUAAAUAUUAUUAAAAGACGAGAAGACCCUAUAGAUCUUUAUAGUUUAUUAAAUUAAAUUAAUUUAGAAAUAUUAAUGUUUUAUUUAAUUAAAUUAUUUUAUUGGGGUAAUAAAAAGAUUGAGUUAAUUCUUUUUUACAAUAAACAUUAAUUUAUGAAUAUUAAUGAUCCAGUUUUACUGAUUAUAAGAUUAAGUUACCUUAGGGAUAACAGCGUAAUUUUUUUAGAGAGUUCAUAUCGAUAAAAAAGUUUGCGACCUCGAUGUUGGAUUAAAGAUUAUUUUAGGUGCAGAAGCUUAAUAAUUUUGGUCUGUUCGACCAUUAAAUCUUUACAUGAUCUGAGUUCAGACCGGCGUAAGCCAGGUCGGUUUCUAUCUUUAAUAAAAUAAAAUAUUUUAGUACGAAAGGACCAAAUAUUUGAUAUAUUUAUAUUUAAUUUAUUGAAUAUUA